rnacentral:rRNA from 1 species
GACGUAGGGCGCAAGCGUUGUCCGGAAUUAUUGGGCGUAAAGAGCUCGUAGGCGGUCUGUCGCGUCUGCUGUGAAAACUCGGGGCUUAACCCCGGGCCUGCAGUGGGUACGGGCAGACUAGAGUGCGGUAGGGGAGACUGGAAUUCCUGGUGUAGCGGUGAAAUGCGCAGAUAUCAGGAGGAACACCGGUGGCGAAGGCGGGUCUCUGGGCCGAUACUGACGCUGAGGAGCGAAAGCGUGGGGAGCGAACAGG